UGGGCACAAGAUACACAGUGUGGUUGCAGCACGCCACAACUGUCACAGCUGCCCGGAGAUCAAUGCUUACCUUCUGAUGACCACACUGUUGUCAAGUCAUCCAGUGUGGACAGAUACGGGGUACACAUGU